AACGCUAGCUACAGGCUUAACACAUGCAAGUCGAGGGGCAGCAUGAAGUUUGCUUGCAAACUUUGAUGGCGACCGGCGGAUGGGUGAGUAACGCGUAUCCAACCUGCCCCCUUCCCGGGCACAGCCCUUGGAAACGAGGAUUAACUCCCGAUGGUGUCGCCUUAACGCAUGUUUCGGCGACCAAAUGUUUAAGGAAGGGGAUGGGGAUGCGUCCCAUUAGCUUGUUGGCGGGGUAACGGCCCACCAAGGCUCCGAUGGGUAGGGGUUCUGAGAGGAAGGUCCCCCACACUGGAACUGAGACACGGUCCAGACUCCUACGGGAGGCAGCAGUGAGGAAUAUUGGUCAAUGGAGGCAACUCUGAACCAGCCAAGUAGCGUGAGGGAAGACUGCCCUACGGGUUGUAAACCUCUUUUGUCGGGGAAUAAACUGCGCCACGCGUGGCGCUCUGCAUGUACCCGCAGAAUAAGGACCGGCUAAUUCCGUGCCAGCAGCCGCGGUAAUACGGAAGGUCCGAGCGUUAUCCGGAUUUAUUGGGUUUAAAGGGAGCGUAGGCGGGCUGUUAAGCCAGCCGUCAAAUUGCGGGGCUCAACCCCGUAUCGCGGUUGGAACUGGCGGCCUUGAGUGGGCAAGAGGCGCGUGGAAUUCGUGGUGUAGCGGUGAAAUGCAUAGAUAUCACGAAGAACUCCGAUUG
rnacentral:rRNA from 1 species